rnacentral:rRNA from 1 species
UAAGGCUAAAUACUCUCUAGUGACCGAUAGUGAACCAGUACCGUGAGGGAAAGGUGAAAAGUACCCCGGAAGGGGAGUGAAAGAGAACUUGAAACCGUGUGCUUACAAGUAGUCAGAGCCCGUUAAUGGGUGAUGGCGUGCCUUUUGUAGAAUGAACCGGCGAGUUACGAUCUGAUGCAAGGUUAAGCAGAAAAUGUGGAGCCGUAGCGAAAGCGAGUCUGAAUAGGGCGAAUGAGUAUUUGGUCGUAGACCCGAAACCAGGUGAUCUACCCUUGGUCAGGUUGAAGUUCAGGUAACACUGAAUGGAGGACCGAACCGACUUACGUUGAAAAGUGAGCGGAUGAACUGAGGGUAGCGGAGAAAUUCCAAUCGAACUUGGAGAUAGCUGGUUCUCUCCGAAAUAGCUUUAGGGCUAGCCUCAAGUGAUGAUUAUUGGAGGUAGAGCACUGUUUGGACGAGGGGCCCCUCUCGGGUUACCGAAUUCAGACAAACUCCGAAUGCCAAAUAAUUUAACUUGGGAGUCAGAAUGUGGGUGAUAAGGUCCAUAUUCGAAAGGGAAACAGCCCAGACCACCAGCUAAGGUCCCAAAAUAUAUGUUAAGUGGAAAAGGAUGUGGCGUUGCCCAGACAACUAGGAUGUUGGCUUAGAAGCAGCCAUCAUUUAAAGAGUGCGUAAUAGCUCACUAGUCGAGUGACACUGCGCCGAAAAUGUACCGGGGCUAAACAUAU